AUCUUGAAUAUGAGAGUUGGAGGAAGCUAAAUCAUUUGCUGUAAUUCAUCAUGAACUCCAAUCACAUGGUUUAGUUUCCUCCAAUAUCUCACCUUCAAUGG
rnacentral:pre_miRNA from 1 species